GCAUAUCAAUAAGCGGAGGAAAAGAAACCAACAGGGAUUGCCUUAGUAACGGCGAAGUGAAGCGGCAACAGCUCAAAUUUGAAAUCUGGCCCUUGGGUCCGAAUUGUAAUUUGUAGAGGAUGAUUUUGGUGCGGUAUCUUCCGAGUUCCUUGGAACAGGACGCCUUAGAGGGUGAGAGCCCCGUACGGUUGAAUGCCUAGCCUCUGUAAAUCUCCUUCGACGAGUCGAGUAGUUUGGGAAUGCUGCUCUAAAUGGGAGGUAAAUUUCUUCUAAAGCUAAAUAUUGGCCAGAGACCGAUAGCGCACAAGUAGAGUGAUCGAAAGAUGAAAAGCACUUUGAAAAGAGGGUUAAAUAGCACGUGAAAUUGUUGAAAGGGAAGGAUUUGUGACCAGACUUUUUCUGGGCGGAUCAUCCGGGGUUCUCUCCGGUGCACUUCGCCCAGUAAAGGCCAGCAUCGGUUUUCGGCGUGGGAUAAAAGCAGUAGGAAUGUGGCUCUCUACGGGGAGUGUUAUAGCCUAUUGUAUAAUACCGCGCUGGGGACCGAGGUUCGCGCUUCUGCAAGGAUGCUGGCGUAAUGGUUAUCAAUCACCCGUCUUGAAACACGGACCAAGGAGUCGAACAUUUGUGCGAGUGUUUGGGUGUUAAACCCUCACGCGUAAUGAAAGUGAACGGAGGUGAGAGCCCUUACGGGUGCAUCAUCGACCGAUCCUGAAGUUUUCGGAUGGAUUUGAGUAAGAGCAUAACUGUUCGGACCCGAAAGAUGGUGAACUAUGCGUGGAUAGGGUGAAGCCAGAGGAAACUCUGGUGGAGGCUCGCAGCGGUUCUGACGUGCAAAUCGAUCGUCAAAUCUGCGCAUGGGGGGCGAAAGACUAAUCGAACCAUCUAGUAGCUGGUUACC
rnacentral:rRNA from 1 species